rnacentral:lncRNA from 1 species
GAUACAAAAGCAUGUUCGCAAUUAAAUAUAGCAGCAUUUCUUGUGUAAGACACAGUUAUUUGACUUAAUGAAGAAAUUCAACUACCCAGUAUAAGGGCUAAAGAGCAGAUUAAAUAAUAUACCAUGAUGUCAUAAGAACUUAGAUAUUUUCACUGAACAAUAAAGAAAUAUCUUAUAAGUCUGAUAAAAGGUAAAAUAUGAAUUUAUUUUGUUUAAUCUAAAAAUCAAUCAAAAGACAAAGACCAGACAAAUUCAGAUAUGCAUACACAGGAAUAUCAACAAGUAUCCUCAUAAAAUAAAGCAAAAAUAGGUAGAUUAGCAGACCUGAUCCAUAAUAACUUGGAAUUUCAACAUAUCGCUUAUUAUAGAAUUUCAAUCUUGUUCGGCAUAUGCUUUCAUCAGACAUCAAAUAAUGGCAUGAUUGUAAUAAGAGGUCCUAAUUUUUUUGGCAAACAGUAGCAUAGCAUUUAAGUUCCUGCAACAAUUUCUCAUAGUAAACGUGAAAAAUUGAAUCAUGCACCUAAUAAAGAUAACUUUAAGAACAAGGAAAAAAAGUUAAUGAAGGAAGAACAAGAUGAUUUGAAGUAUUUAAACCAUCUGAUGGCGAAAAGUCAGGGGGAACCAGAGAACCUGAUAAUGCAAGGUGCAAGUUGCUGAAACAUUGGUAGCUUUUGCUACGCCAGGAACAAUUCCCAUGAAUACAAAAGGCCCUACACGUGUGGCACUUGCCUUUACUUCCUGAAGCAACAUCAAGGCACUCUCUUUUGACAACCACUGGCUUGACUCUACGAAAGCAUCAAUAGACAAUGUGGUUAAAGUACUAUAACAAGAAACAAAAAUUUCGUAUGUUUUGCAAAUUACCCAAGAAAUACAUAACAAGCAAGAGGGUCAACUAGGCAGUGUUCCAAGUAAAUAAGCUAGAUCUGAGAGACAAAACUGUCCAUCCUUACAACUCUGCUUCACAAAUUAUAUGAGAAAGAAAAUAUCCUCACUUGUCAUAAAUUUGGGAUUUACUUUGCAGACAUAAAAGAAGAAGAUACCUUCACUUACUGUAACCUAUCGUCACUUUCUAACUCUUCUUCAUUCAUCGUCCAUACUGACAAAGCAUGGGAUCCGUGUCUUCUUACAGAUAUGUCAAUCCUCCCCCGUCUGAAGCUUCUCUAUGGCUAUACGCUCUAAUCCAAGCUCUUGAAAAUUUUUAAGACCUUUACACUCAAAAAUCUUAAUUGCGGAUAACCAAGUGGGAUAAACUUCACCAGAAUUAGUAGAACUAUCCAAUACAACACAUAUUAUGCUUUGGUAACUCUUUAAUAAAUUUAUUAAAAACAAGUACACUUAAAGUUCAACAAAAUUAAAUGGAAGUAUAAGACUGCAAGGUAGAAGAUUAAUGCCACCAGAGCAACUUUAUCCUAGAAUAGAAUACAUAAAAUGCAUGAGAUCCCACUAUGACAGGUGUUGGUGUAAACCAAGGUUUUAUUUACCGAAUCGUACCGCCCGGUACGGGCGGUACGUACCGGUCCGAGAGACGACCGGUACGCGGACCGCCCCGUACCGUACCGAGUACUGUAGCAGUGUACAGUAACACUGUAGCAGUGUACAGUAGAACUGUAGCCGUGUACAGUGCUCGGUACACGUGAGUGUACCGCUCGGUACACCUGGGUGUACCGAGCGGUAUACCGUACCGUACCGGUACCGAGCCUGGGUCGAAACGCCGGUACGGUACGGUACGGCGAACCUUGGUGUAAACAACUUUAUGCCGUGGCCUCGGGGCCGACGCGGCUUGGUUCGGGUCCGAAUGCGCGGGGAUCUUGCGCGGCGUUCCUCGGGACAGCUGGGGUGGCCGGUUACGAUGGUCCGGGCGGGACGUUGCGUGGGGAGUAAAGCUUUUCCGCGGCGUUGGGAAGAUGCAACCUCGCCCUUGUACCUACACACAGGUCGGGUCGGAAGCUCGGCCCGACCCCUCCGACGAUCAAGUUAGAUGAUGUGGAAGGAGUUUUUUAGUGAAGAAGUGUCCUCCCCCCUCGUUUAAAACUCGGGGGUAUUUAUAGGGCAAUUUAGUGUUACCUGACGUGCCUGCCUGCGGGAGGCAGGAUCGUACCUCUGAUGGUGUCUGACAUUGCCAUUGACGUUGCGUGGAGAACCGAACUGCCGCAGGGUAUGGGCGUGCCUCGGUGGUCAUUCUCCUCUGCCUCGGUCGAGCGUGUUGGGUCAGACAACGUUGAAGUCUUCGUCUGAGAGCGGGUGACGUCAGCGCCCGUCGUGUCGGCAUUAUUGCCCUCUUCCGGGCAGAGUGUCAUCCAAUCAUGGCUGACGUCGUAGCGCGUCAUGUCGCCGUUAUUAUCCUCAUCAUAUUCCCCCCCCCCCGGAAGAAGCUAUGCAUCGGGUACUACGAUAUGGGGGAGUCCGAGGCAUGGCUUUGUCCUUUGGUGCCGCAGUAGUCUCAGGCGACACGAGGUCGAGCUCGCCUCGGGCGGGCAGGCCGCGGCGAGGGAGGUGGUCUCGGGGAACAAGGAGCCGAGGAGCACGACGCAGGCGGGCCGACCGCGCAAGUGUGCCUCGGGGAGCAUAGAGCCGAGGAGCACGACGCAGGCGGGCUGACCGCGCAGGUGUGUCUCGGGGAGCAUAGAGCCGAGGAGCACGAUGCAGGCGGGCUGACCGCACAGGUGUGUCUCGGGAAGCAUGGAGCCAAGGAGCACGACGUAGGCGGGCUGGCCGCGCAGGUGUGUCCCGGGGAGCAUGAGGCCGAGGAGCACGACGCAGGCGGGCUGACCGUGCAGGUGUGUCUCGGGGAGCAUAGGGCCGAGGAGCACGACGCAGGCGGGCUGACCGCGCAGGUGUGUCUCGGGGAGCAUGGAGCCGAGGAGCACGACGCAGGCGGGCUGGCCGCGCAGGUGUGUCCCGGGGAGCNNNNNNNNNNNNNNNNNNNNNNNNNNNNNNNNNNNNNNNNNNNNNNNNNNNNNNNNNNNNNNNNNNNNNNNNNNNNNNNNNNNNNNNNNNNNNNNNNNNNNNNNNNNNNNNNNNNNNNNNNNNNNNNNNNNNNNNNNNNNNNNNNNNNNNNNNNNNNNNNNNNNNNNNNNNNNNNNNNNNNNNNNNNNNNNNNNNNNNNNNNNNNNNNNNNNNNNNNNNNNNNNNNNNNNNNNNNNNNNNNNNNNNNNNNNNNNNNNNNNNNNNNNNNNNNNNNNNNNNNNNNNNNNNNNNNNNNNNNNNNNNNNNNNNNNNNNNNNNNNNNNNNNNNNNNNNNNNNNNNUGCGGCCGAGGAGCACGACGCAGGCGAGGCAGGCCGCGCAGGCGUGGUCUCGGACAACAUGCGGCCGAGGAGCACAACGCAAGCGGGCGGACCGCGCAGGCGUGGUCUCGAGCAACAGAUAGCCCUGAGGGGGGCUCGGCAGUCUACGGCCGAGAGAUGCAACUCAGGUGGGCAGGCCGCCAUGAGAUGGACUCGGCAGUCUAUGGCCGAGGAGCUCGGCGCAUGCGGCCUGCAGUCGAGGGACACGGCUCAGGCGGGCAGGCCGCGCUGAGGUGGGCUCGGCAGUCUAUGGCCGAGGAAUGCAACUCAGGUGGGCAAGCCGCCCUGAGGUGGACUCGGCAGUGUAUGGCCGAGCCGUGUAGAUUUGGAAGAUUUUAAGCCGGGGCUAACCACGAGCCGAGAGGGGGUCAGGUAGAUACUGGACCUUGGCUCGAAAGAGGCUGAGGCAGGGCUUAGAUUUCUUUUCAUGAGGACUACAUUGGGUAGCCGCCGCGGGUACUUGACCUCUCUUAUGGAGCUCACGGUCGGGGGUCGUCCCUUCUCCUCACGGCCGCCUAGGCCUCCGCGGCGAUGUACCGGUUAGCGCGCUGAAGCAUCUCUAGCACCGUGGUGGGAGGUUGCUCCGCGAGGGACCAGAGGAACCUGGAAGGUCGCAGGCCUAUCAUGAAUGCCUGCAUCAACAGAGAGGGGUGAGCGUCCGAGAGCCCUCGGAUUUGCGUCGUAAAACGGUUCACAAAAUGGGAGAGGGGCUCGUCCUCCCUUUGGUUGAGUCCGAGGAGCAACGUCACGGACGGCUUUGGUCGAGCGUAGGCCAGGAAGUUGAGCUCGAAGUUUCGAGCGAGCUGGUCAAAGGAGGUGAUGGUCCCGGUCUUCAGGCCGCUAUACCAUGCGCGGGCCGGCCCCCUCAAAGUCGUUGGGAACGCCCUGCACAUCAAGGCGUCAGAAGUCCCAUAUAGCGCCAUUUGGGCGCGAAAGGCAGCUACGUGGUCCGCGAGGUCAGUGGCGCCGUUAUAGGCGUCCAACGAAGGGAGCCGGAAGUGUGGUGAAAUCACUUGAUCUUAUAUUUCGGGCGCGAACGGGGACCCUUGGUGUCCGUCCGCUCCGAGCUCUCCUUUUGACCUGCGAACCUCCUGCUGUACUUCGUCGAGGCGUUGGCAAACGAGGCGCAACUGGGCUCGUAGGGCGUUCGUCGAGUCCGCGGAUAGCGCCUCAGGCUCUGGGCGACUCGACGUGUCUUCCGCCUCUCGGUUCCCGGGCUGGGCUGUUCGGUUCCGAGGCGAAGCAGGGAGCUCGGGAAGUGGUGCAUGAGUCCGGGUGGGGGGCUCCCGCUGUUGCAGAGGCUGGGUUAUAUGCGGGGGCGUCGGUUGGGAGACGAGCGGGAUGAUAGUUUGCACCACGCCCGCCAGUGCUCGGACUUGAUGAGCAAGAUCGUGGAAGGCUUCGGGCGAUACAGGCGACGGGCCGACGGGGGCGUCGGGUGGCAAUAAACCUGGGUCGUUGAACAACCGCCAGUAGCGCUCCGAUGUAGUGGCGGGGCGUUCGUCUCGGGGUUUAUCACGUAAGGGAUGUUCUUCCGGGGUGCUGACCGGACGCAACCCCAUAGCUGCAGGUUCGCUAGAGUGGAUCUGCUGAUCGCUCGACAUUCGGAGGCCCUCCUUCUAGCGCCAAAAUGUUGGUGUAAACAACUUUAUGCCGUGGCCUCGGGGCCGACGCGGCUUGGUUCGGGUCCGAAUGCGCGGGGAUCUUGCGCGGCGUUCCUCGGGACAACUGGGGUGGCCGGUUACGAUGGUCCGGGCGGGACGUUGCGUGGGGAGUAAAGCUUUUCCGCGGCGCUGGGAAGAUGCAACCUCGCCCUUGUACCUGCACACAGGUCGGGUCAGAAGCUCGGCCCGACCCCUCCGACGAUCAAGUUAGAUGAUGUGGAAGGAGUUUUUUAGUGAAGAAGUGUCCUCCCCCCUCGUUUAGAACUCGGGGGUAUUUAUAGGGCAAUUUAGUGUUACCUGACGUGCCUGCCUGCGGGAGGCAGGAUCGUACCUCUGAUGGCGUCUGACAUUGCCAUUGACGUUGCGUGGAGAACCGAACUGCCGCAAGGUAUGGGCGUGCCUCGGUGGUCGUUCUCCUCUGCCUCGGUCGAGCGCGUUGGGUCAGACAACGUUGAAGUCUUCGUCUGAGAGCGGGUGACGUUAGCGCCCGUCGUGUCGGCAUUAUUGCCCUCUUCCGGGCAGAGUGUCGUCCAGUCAUGGCUGACGUCGUAGCGCGUCAUGUUGCCAUUAUUAUCCUCAUCAACAGGCAUAAUUUUAACCAUCCUACUUUUGUCAAAAUAAUAUUCAAUUGAUUUGUUAUGUUUAUUUAUGAAAAUUAUGUGAGAAAAUCUAAACAAAAAUGCAAUAUGAAGUAUCUGAAAAAUACAUGUCACCCUUUGUUCCACAAAUGGCUUUGAGCCUUCAACACCAACUUCCCUUAGUUGGAAAUUGUUGCUACCUUCAUUCCCAGCAUACUUCCAAGUGACUUUUCUGGAGGAAAACAUCUGAUGAAGGACACAAAGGCAAGAGAAUUUGACAAUUCCCACCACAACUAACAACAAUAACAAAGCCGUAAGUUCCAACAAUCUCCACCACAACCCCAACCCCAACCGAAAAAAAAAAGAAAAAGGACACACACAUGCAUCCAACACAAAAGGAACAUCCCUAACAGCAAUGCAGGCAGCAUACUGUGCCAGCAAGACAUCCUUGAUAUAGCACUUAAUAUUCCGGAUACUGUUGAAACUUUCAUUCCUAAUCUAGUUAUACGUGCACAAAAGAUUUUUCUGCACUAUGAUCUAUACCAAGGAUUAGAAUACAAGGAUCAAACAUAACUCACAAUUAUCUAAAAGAUAAAUGGGUAAGAAAAAACUUCAAGUAAGUUGUUGAUUUGACUAAUUUCAUAUAGAAAAAACUAUUCAGAGACACAACCUGGAAAAGUACUUAUUCACAUGUCUAUAUCAGCAACAUCAAUAAUCCAGUAAACACUCAUUAAUUUCUAUUAUUCAAACAAAUUGUUUUGUUGCUUUCCAAAUAAUAAAUUAGUGACUAGUAUUAGAAAACAGUAUAUCUCUACACAGAUCAGCAGAAACUAUGCUGCUUCCUGGGACAAAAUAUUUGCCAAGGGAUAAGGUAAUAGUUUAUUUGAUAUUUGGAAAAUGAUCUCCAGCAUGAAAUUCAUGGUGAAGUUGGCAAAGGAUGUACAUAAAACCCAUAAAUUAAGUGCAAUGAAAUAACCUACAAGAAACAAAUGACAGGCAUAAUGGUUAAAAAGAUAAAGAAUGUCCACAAUCCUUCCUCAAAUGCCGAGAAAAGUUAGAUCUAUGAUAAAUGAUCAACAUCUCAGCUAUGCUAUUGUCAUCAAAUAAGCAUGUCUGUCAACAUGCACAUAAUACAUAAUAUGAGCAAUAAGGUUAUAAGUUCCUAAACUCCCAAAAUGGGUUUAGAUUUUUAUUCUGCAGAACAACGUCAACUCAGUAGGAACAGCCUAAACCACCAGGAACCUCAUUAUUCCUCUUUGGGUCUUCAUUUUUAAAGUCAAACCUAACCUAUAUCAAGCAUUUUCUUAAAGAACAUACCAUCUUCAGCUAUUUUCUUAAUGAAGAAUUGAUGUUAAAUCAGAUGAACAACCAACAUAAUGCAAUGAUAACUACAUCAUUCAAUUCGAACCUAUGCAGGGUUCUGAA